GGGUGGUAGUAGCCUAGUGGGUAACACUCUCGCCUAUGAACCAGAAGACCCAGGUUGAAAUCCCAUUGUGUCCCUGAGCAAGACACCCCUAAGUUGCUCCAGGGGGUCUCUGUUCACUGUAACUACUGAUUGUAAAUCGCUCUGGAUAAGGGUGUCUGAAAAAUGCUGUAAAUGUAAAUGUAAGUACAAAUAUCAAGUAAUUUCUUCAGUGGGUAUAUGUAACUUUAUAAUCUGUACAAAAAAUAUUUUUAGUCUGAGAUGAAAUAUGGAUCAUAUUUAUUUAAAAUCUGGAAAAUUGUAAAUGUUUCACCAACUUUAAAACAAUUCUACCACCAUGACUACAACUUCCUUGAUAUGAUUAUCACUGUUAUUAUUAUUCAUAAUAGCAACAGCAAAUUUCCCGUUGCAGACAGGAGUGGGUGUGGCGUCUUAUUGUCAUUAUGUCUUGUGCGUACAUAUGUGUAUGUACACAGGAAUUCAGUAGGAAGUCCCACAUUGCAAGUUAAUGAGCACAUUAUAUUGCAACAUAGUAAGAAAUCCUGGUUUAUAAAAGACACAGAAUCAAUCUGUAGAGGUUGACCAGUAGAGGAGACCGAUUCAUCAAAGGGCAGACGUUCUGCAGAUAAAAAAGAAAAUGAAUAUGUACGCAAGAACAGUAACACUGCUAUAUAUUACUGUGUUCAUCUAUGUGCAUGCUGAAAAUACAACUCCAACAAUUAUUACAAGUGUAGAGACCACAGCUGUUAUCAGUUCUACUUCUAAAGCAUCCACAGCAGCAGCUGACACAAAAGGCACUACUGAACCAACAGCAUCACGUACUUCAACAUCUGAAACUGUGACUACCACUGGAAUUGCAACUAUAGUUUCUCCAUCAGCAUCCAGUACUACAUCUGAAGGUGGUAGUACAGUGUCCCUGAUAGAUACAUCAACCAUCACAUCUGCCCAUUCAACAACUACAUCAGAAGCUUUCGCAACAGGUCCAGAGGGUUCUAGUUCUUCUCCAACUACUGUUCCAACAGCAUCAAGUACUACAGCACUUGGGCAUGUGCCUACAACACCUCCUGAAACAGGCUCUACCACCGGAAUUGCAACUAUAGUUGCUCCAACAGCAUCCAGUACUAGAGCUGAAGGUAGUACAAAAUUUCAAACAACUUCUACCACUGGAACAGCAACAGUAGGCUCUUCAACAGCAUCUAGCCCUACAACUCAAGUAAAUGCAACAUCUGCCAGAGCAACUACUACAACAGCAUCCACUAUUUCAACGGCUUUACCUUUCACUUCAGCACAGUCUCAAACAAGCUCUAAAACUCAAUUUAGUGCAAGGACAACUUCUGCUCUUUCUACAGCCACUUCACCUUUUCAAACCACAACAGCAUCAGCCACAAGUACCUCAGUCCCAUCAUACCCUGCUAUAUCAACUGAAGGCUUCCUAAUUCUUACCUUCAGAAUGAUUAGAGCCUUUCAAAAUGACUACUAUGAUUCAUCAACAUCAGCCUACAGGACACUAGAAAGGAAUGUCACAACUGAGCUAAAUAAAGGUUAUAAAAAACUAUAUCCUUUAACAUUUGUCAGAACUUACAUACUACGAUUUUGGCCUGGAUCAGUCGGUGUGGAUGCUCAACUAAUUUUUCAAAACCAGUCAGUGGUUCCCAACACCACAACUGUAACAAAUGAUCUUAAAACCGAACUGUCAAAAGUUGUUUUCCUGGAUGUCAUUCCAGAAAGCAUUUCUGCACAUAAUGCAACAACAGCAGCAGCAACAACGUUUGCAACAACUUCAAGCAGUGCUACAAGUAGUCCUACAGCAAGCAGUACUACAGCAAGCAGUACUACAGCAAGUAGUGCAAUUGCAAGCAGCAGACAAUGCUUUUUGCUUACUUUCCUUCUUCCAAUCUUACUGAUCUUGGAUCAGUUUGUUAAACUACUUUGAAUCUAUGAAUAAGACAUCUUACAUUAUAUUACACAUAUUUCUGUUGCUGAUAAUAACAGCAGAUGACUGCCCAAUUACAAAAUGAUAAAAAAAAGAUGUCAUUAUGCUGUGUGGGUUUAUGAAGUCUGAUUAUGAUUUUUACAGUAUUAAAUUAUGUUACCUAUUUAAAUUACUCUAGUUAUUUAAAAACAAUUAACUGAAAAAUAUUUAUUUGAACACUUUGUGUAUAAUUUAUUUUGUCAUGCAACUGUUUUAAUUCAAAUAAAAUAAAUCUGCAUUACUUGUUAUAACUAAAU
ensembl:lncRNA mucin-2-like